GGGCCAACAUUGAAAAAAUGGGAAAACUAUAUAGAUAAUGAAUGAUAUAUUGUUAUUUGUUCUAAAAUUUUUUUUCUUCUAUUUUUUGAAAUCUUACUUGAGUGGCACAUAUCUGUACCACUGCCUGUUUAAGGGUUAAGAUCAGUAGAAAUGAACAAGCAAGUUUUAAGAUGCAGUUAAAACUCUACGUAAAGUGUGUCGAUGAUAUUUUUAUAAUAUGGAAACAAGAUAAAACCAAAAAAUUAAUACAAUAUUUAAUGGUUCCAAAUAUAGGAUUAAACUUAAUCUUAGAUCAAAAGAAACAAAAAGAGAUACACUUUCUAAAUUUAUUGAUAUGUAUAAGUGAAGGUGCAUAUAAAAUAAAUAUUUAUAGAAAAUCCUUGUUUGUUACAACAAUAAUUCUGGCACAGUCAAAUGAUCCUAUGGCAUACAAGAAAGCAUCCUUCCAAACAUUCUUUAGAUAAUUGCAAAUUCAUUAUAUUACAGAUGCUGCAAAGCAACAUGAGC
rnacentral:lncRNA from 1 species